UUGUGUGGAUUUCCAGGGGUAGUUUUGUGACCCUGGUGGUAGUGUGACCCUUCUUCUGUACCAUGAGCCUAAAGAAACACUCAUCAUAACCCGACUGAUCUCCCAUUUGGCCUUUGGAAAUAGUUAAUGUGAGAGGCGGAAGCGUUUGACAAUACCAACCUUUGUGACGAAUUGGAGAACACCAUCAUGCUACAAAUCACUACAGUGCGGUGGUUAUCAUUAGCGAGGAAUACAUGAGCGGGAGUGGUGUGGACGGUGAGUAACAAAACAGUCCCCUCAUAAAGGAGCUCAAUGAUUAAGUGGUAGAAAACUGACCUCGUGCCACCACAUUGCCAUCUGGCGGUAUACUGGACAAGGCAACUCAAGACCAUGUGGCUCAGUUGGGGUUGGCUUUGUGACGGAGCAGGACCGAGUGACGUGCCUAAGGACCGAUUUUUUAUAUAUACCUUUAGGCCCACGCCACCCGACACUCGCGGGGGAUCGUAGUGCACCUCUUCGCGGACACGUGACAACCACACAGCCGACGGUCCCCUCUUCUGCCACGCCAAACAGGGAGACAGAAGUGAGGGGAGGAUCCUGCGGAGGUCCUCACAAAGAGCCACCAUUGAGAGAAGAGCUAAAUGUGCUGCCUAAGAAGACACAUUUCAGCUGACCAUACAAUGUACUGGAACACUGAUGCUGUGUGAUGACUGACAGAAACAAACACCAUGAACAGAAUCCAGACUGUUUCCAGGUGAAGACUCAGGCGAUGGAGAAAGGUUCUUGAGUGCAUGGAUGGCCGAGUGGAAGGCCUCCAGGUAGUAGGAGGCUUCUCCUGAUGAAGCGCUGGGGAGGAGGAGGCCCCACAUGUAGUCUGCUUCAACC